UGGCUUGGCUCACUACCAUAUUUUAAAGGAAAUCGUUAUUAGUAGGAAAGAUAGCCAGACUAAUUUUUAAAUGAUAAAAAAGUCAUCUUAGAAAGUCAGAAUAAACAAAGCUAUUGCUCUGUUCUUCAUUUCUUAUUUUCUCUGUCCCAGAAACAAGUAACCACUUCCAUAUCCUGGGAGGAACAUGUGUGCCAUGACAUUGAAGGAAGCCGAUAAGGGACAAAGUAGUCAUUUUCCAUUCUACGUGGAUAAAGUAGGAGUUCAGAGGGCCAUUUAGAAGAUUCCUCAAGGUAGGGCAGCCACCUUCUGGUGCCCAACAUUUCAAUGCAUCCCUCUCCUUGGCGCUGUUGACAGGCCAUGUGGAUGAAGUAAUGUGAAAAUGAGGAGGAAGGGCCAGAUUAGAUUGCUGUGUGGAUUUCUUGCUGAGACCAGCAAAGUAGCAUAUAGAUCCAGGAUGCAACAUGACCCUGGGAAAGAAUUUUCAGCAACCUCACAAAAGACAAUACUGGCUAGUUGGGAAAAUACCCCGGAAUAUGAGCCCAGAGGUGUAGGUUCUAAUCCCAGCACUGCCAAUGGGCAGCUGUGUGACCUUAGGGGGAAAUCACUUUACAUCUUGGUCUGUUUCCUGGCCUUAAGAAAAUGAAAAAUUUGGAGCAGAUGAUGUGAUCUUAAUCUUCCUUCCAGCUAGAAAAUGCUAUAACUCAGUCUAGGCUAAUACUAAAGUCCGCAAGGACACAA
rnacentral:lncRNA from 1 species